rnacentral:rRNA from 3 species
AGAGUUUGAUCCUGGCUCAGGAUGAACGCUGGCGGCGUGCCUAAUACAUGCAAGUCGAGCGAACGGACGAGAAGCUUGCUUCUCUGAUGUUAGCGGCGGACGGGUGAGUAACACGUGGAUAACCUACCUAUAAGACUGGGAUAACUUCGGGAAACCGGAGCUAAUACCGGAUAAUAUUUUGAACCGCAUGGUUCAAAAGUGAAAGACGGUCUUGCUGUCACUUAUAGAUGGAUCCGCGCUGCAUUAGCUAGUUGGUAAGGUAACGGCUUACCAAGGCAACGAUGCAUAGCCGACCUGAGAGGGUGAUCGGCCACACUGGAACUGAGACACGGUCCAGACUCCUACGGGAGGCAGCAGUAGGGAAUCUUCCGCAAUGGGCGAAAGCCUGACGGAGCAACGCCGCGUGAGUGAUGAAGGUCUUCGGAUCGUAAAACUCUGUUAUUAGGGAAGAACAUAUGUGUAAGUAACUGUGCACAUCUUGACGGUACCUAAUCAGAAAGCCACGGCUAACUACGUGCCAGCAGCCGCGGUAAUACGUAGGUGGCAAGCGUUAUCCGGAAUUAUUGGGCGUAAAGCGCGCGUAGGCGGUUUUUUAAGUCUGAUGUGAAAGCCCACGGCUCAACCGUGGAGGGUCAUUGGAAACUGGAAAACUUGAGUGCAGAAGAGGAAAGUGGAAUUCCAUGUGUAGCGGUGAAAUGCGCAGAGAUAUGGAGGAACACCAGUGGCGAAGGCGACUUUCUGGUCUGUAACUGACGCUGAUGUGCGAAAGCGUGGGGAUCAAACAGGAUUAGAUACCCUGGUAGUCCACGCCGUAAACGAUGAGUGCUAAGUGUUAGGGGGUUUCCGCCCCUUAGUGCUGCAGCUAACGCAUUAAGCACUCCGCCUGGGGAGUACGACCGCAAGGUUGAAACUCAAAGGAAUUGACGGGGACCCGCACAAGCGGUGGAGCAUGUGGUUUAAUUCGAAGCAACGCGAAGAACCUUACCAAAUCUUGACAUCCUUUGACAACUCUAGAGAUAGAGCCUUCCCCUUCGGGGGACAAAGUGACAGGUGGUGCAUGGUUGUCGUCAGCUCGUGUCGUGAGAUGUUGGGUUAAGUCCCGCAACGAGCGCAACCCUUAAGCUUAGUUGCCAUCAUUAAGUUGGGCACUCUAAGUUGACUGCCGGUGACAAACCGGAGGAAGGUGGGGAUGACGUCAAAUCAUCAUGCCCCUUAUGAUUUGGGCUACACACGUGCUACAAUGGACAAUACAAAGGGCAGCGAAACCGCGAGGUCAAGCAAAUCCCAUAAAGUUGUUCUCAGUUCGGAUUGUAGUCUGCAACUCGACUACAUGAAGCUGGAAUCGCUAGUAAUCGUAGAUCAGCAUGCUACGGUGAAU